rnacentral:rRNA from 1 species
AAUGAACGCUGGCGGCAUGCCUUACACAUGCAAGUCGAACGGCAGCAUGACCUAGCUUGCUAGGUUGAUGGCGAGUGGCGAACGGGUGAGUAAUGCAUCGGAACGUGCCUUUUAGUGGGGGAUAACGUAGCGAAAGUUACGCUAAUACCGCAUAUUCUCUGAGGAGGAAGGCAGGGGGCCUUCGGGCCUUGCGCUAGAAGAGCGGCCGAUGUCGGAUUAGCUAGUUGGUGAGGUAAAGGCUCACCAAGGCAACGAUCCGUAGCGGGUCUGAGAGGAUGAUCCGCCACACUGGGACUGAGACACGGCCCAGACUCCUACGGGAGGCAGCAGUGGGGAAUUUUGGACAAUGGGCGCAAGCCUGAUCCAGCCAUGCCGCGUGAGUGAAGAAGGCCUUCGGGUUGUAAAGCUCUUUCGGCUGGGAAGAAAUCGCACUCUCUAAUACAGGGUGUGGAUGACGGUACCAGCAUAAGAAGCACCGGCUAACUACGUG